rnacentral:rRNA from 1 species
GACGAACGCUGGCGGCGUGCCUAAUACAUGCAAGUAGAACGCACAGUUUAUACCGUAGCUUGCUACACCAUAAACUGUGAGUUGCGAACGGGUGAGUAACGCGUAGGUAACCUGCCUGGUAGCGGGGGAUAACUAUUGGAAACGAUAGCUAAUACCGCAUAAUAUUGAUUAUUGCAUGAUAAUUCAUUGAAAGGUGCAAUUGCAUCACUACCAGAUGGACCUGCGUUGUAUUAGCUAGUAGGUGAGGUAACGGCUCACCUAGGCGACGAUACAUAGCCGACCUGAGAGGGUGAUCGGCCACACUGGGACUGAGACACGGCCCAGACUCCUACGGGAGGCAGCAGUAGGGAAUCUUCGGCAAUGGACGAAAGUCUGACCGAGCAACGCCGCGUGAGUGAAGAAGGGUUUCGGAUCGUAAAGCUCUGUUGGAAGAGAAGAACGGGUGUGAGAGUGGAAAGUUCACACUGUGACGGUAUCUUACCAGAAAGGGACGGCUAACUACGUG